GGUCAAGCGAAUAAGUGCAUGUGGUGGAUGCCUUGGCGAUCACAGGCGAUGAAGGACGUAGUAGCUUGCGAAAAGCUGCGGGGAGCUGGCAAACGAGCUUUGAUCCGCAGAUGUCCGAAUGGGGAAACCCGGCCCGUAUGGGUCAUCCCUUGCUGAAUACAUAGGCAAGGGAGGCGAACGCAGUGAACUGAAACAUCUAAGUAGCUGCAGGAAAAGAAAUCAACCGAGAUUCCCAGAGUAGUGGCGAGCGAAAUGGGAACAGCCUUGUACUCUUUAGCAGUAUUGUUAGCGGAACGGAAUGGAAAGUCCGGCCAUAGUGGGUGAUAGCCCCGUACGCGAAAACAGUAUUGUGGAACUAGGUGUACGACAAGUAGGGCGGGACACGUGAAAUCCUGUCUGAAGAUGGGGGGACCAUCCUCCAAGGCUAAAUACUCGUG
rnacentral:rRNA from 1 species